CAGCUGCUGAGGCGUCAAUAGAUGGAUGGGACAGCAGAGAGUAAGAGCUUAAUGUCUCGAGAUGUGUGAAGAGUUUUUAAUUCAAAGCAUAAAAAAACUACAGAAGAAAGUUCCCCAAGUUCUCAUUUUGUUUUUACUGCCGAUAAAAGAAGCAGAAUAUGAAGAAAUCUCUCAGGUUUCUUGUUUUAGUGUCUCAAUGUUAACAGAAAAACUAUCUGAGGAUGUGAACACGUGUCUGGACUAUUACUGCUAUUUUAUUUUAAUUAAUUCAUGGAGUCUAAUUUCUUAAUUUGAAAGCAAAGUUUAGUGAUUCAGGAUCAAGUAAAUUAUGAAUGAAUUUGUAUUACUAAUUGAAAAACAAAUUAUAAAUUCAAGAACAUGAAUUAAGUCACUUUAGGGCACAAAUUAAGUAAUUUGAGAGUUUGAAAGCAAAGAGUUACUAAUUCAAGAGCACAAACCACAAACCGUCUUUCCUCAGAGGCCUCCCCACUAAUUACUAAUUAGAAAAAACUGAUUGAUUGAUUCAAGAGCAUGAAAGAGUCAUUUGAGAGCAUGAAUUAUUAAUUAAUUACGUGUACAGCCAGUCAGUCGAUCUCAACAACGACUGGAUGGAUUGUGAUGAUAUUUUGCUCAGACAUUCAUGUUUCUAAGAGUUUGGAUCUUAAUCAUUUUGGUGAUGCCUGUAGCACCACGAGGUUCAUAUUAUUGGAUGGAUCGCUGUUAAAUUUGGUGCACGUGUUCGUGUCCAUCUCAGGAUGAGUUGUAGUAAUGUUGGAGAUCAAAAUCCUGAUUUGUCCGAUACUUUUGUUUAUAACCAAGUUCCUGUAAACAUGGUAGAUAUAAUAUUUCUAAAUGUUAGCAUGUUGUUGCAGUCAGCUCAGUGUUAUAGCUAACUGCUGUAACUUCAUGUUAACUGUUUUCAUGUUUAAUGAGCCUCAGAACGAACAUCAGUCAACAUAGAGUCGAUGAAUCGAUUGUCAACUAUUAAAACAUUUUAUGGAUCGAGCAACUAAACUACAGUCACACAGUGAAGCCCAGUGUGACUUUAUGACAACAUAACCUUUAAACAGGCGGGAGACUGGAGGUGCUUUUCAAUCAGCAAUUACCUGAGUCAGUUCUGUCCGAACCUGCAGGCGGCCUGAUCGAUCGAUGUGUCUCUGCAGAUCAGAGCGACGCUCAGCUGUCGGCUCCCAGUUUCCCAUCCUGCCCUGGACGGUAGAUAAAUACAUUUACUCAAGAUCAGAGAUUCUCCCUGUAAUCUCCCGCCGCCUGCUUGUGCGACUUUUCGGGACAACAUGGCCGCUGCCGGAGUCGGAGAUGAUGGAGAAACAACAGAAGUUUGAAAUCCUCCUGGUGUGGCAACGUUUUGCCUUCCUUGAGGAAGACAACGAGCUACAACCUGAUCUUCACCACAACGAGACGUCGUCCCCGCCGGACUGAUGACGUCUGGGAGACGUGUCCUCAGGGUUCGUCUGCGAAGUGCAACACGACUUAAACCCACCAGGAUUAACUCAAGCUGUUGUUGUAAAUGAUCCUUCUGCCAUCUUCUGGCUCUUCUCUUUGUUUUUGUGUUGAACAUUUGGUUCCCGAUUGGCUGCUGAAAUAAAUUAUUGUUCUUACAUUUAAAUAAAUAAUUUAAAUUUGA